AUUUUACUUCCGAUUUGUCGUUUCUACGUAUUAAAUUGUUAGCUGUUGACAAUAAGACAAUGGAACACCCAAAUGCAUUGUGAGACUGUGAUAAAUCUGGUUUGGCCAAAAACACACAACAAAACAGAGAGAUCAAACGAGAUGAGGCGGCAACUAGAAAUAGGGCCUAUCGCCCAAGCCGUAACAAUUUCUAACAAAUAAAAUGUUUAUCAUUUGUUUUGUGACAUGCACAACGGGGUGUGCGAAUUACAGUCGAGCCCUGGACACAGACCUGACUGCCCUCGUCCUGUCGUCCCUUUGCGGCUGAGCCUGAUAAUGACAUUACCCAGCGGCCAAGCACUGCAUGACGUCACAGCGCUGCCGCACCAGGUCACAAACAUAAAGCGACAAAUUGACGCAAACAUUUAACACACACAUUGCUCCGCCCCUCCCCAACAAAGAUCGCAGAGCGCAAUGCUCAGGACAUGGUCAACAGGGCUGUAGAAGGGCCUGCAGCAGGGCGUUGGCGGCUUCUCUUGAUGGUGGAACACCUACGAAAAAAUUCCUUUGAAUUACGUUGUUGCAGCGCUAGCCAGCCUGCCUGCGUGCAUGUAUGUGUGUGGGUUUUUUUUUUGUUAGGCCCUAAGCUAUGCGCAAAAAAGGACAUCUUCACUGGCUGUGCACUCCAUUAUGCAUUUUAUGUGCGCCCUCAUUCAGUGUCUGUUGACAUUUUUAUUCCAAGCAGUUAAGCAAUAUUUCCACUAACGUGUGGCCGGAUCGGAGUCCAACAAUCUAUAAAUGACCUGUCGCUGCGAGUCCUGGCUGUCCUGGCUGUUGCUGCUGCUACUGCUGCUACUGCUGCUACUACGGUUUGCUUAAUUAUAGGGCCAAAAGGCAAAGCGGCGUCUGCUACUUACAACUUGCUAGGUAAUCAGCCUUUCAGUCGUUUUGGCUACCGUAUUAAAAGGACGACCGCUUGAUGAUGAUUGAUUAGGCGCUGGCCAAGUUGAACCAACCCAAGCCAAGCCUAGCCGAGUCAAUCACCGAUGAGCUUCUUAUGUAGGCCAAGCAUCUUUUGCAUCUGCUCAGCUGCGACAACUGUGCAAAUGCAGCGCGUGGCUAAGAGACCCACGGAGCGGGGCAGCUGUAGCUGUAGCUGAGGCUAAACAACAAAUCGAAAACUGAUUUGGAGCGGAAGUUCGUUUGCACCUUUCAGCAGUUUCCUGUGUGUGCAAAGCAACAACAACGACAACCACAACAACAGCAACAACUAUACAAACGCUCACACAUCUGUACACAUAUGUAUAUAUAGUAGUGUGUUUGUAUGUAGCACACGCAUGUCAAGACUUCAUUUGUGAUUUGCGCUACUUCGACGUUUGGCCUUUGACGCCGCAUUCCUUUGUCUUGGAACUGAACGGAACGCAACGGAACGGGCGGUGCGAGCGCGCGAUAUAUUCGCAAAUCAAAAGCUAUAUAGAUUAAGAUUGCCCUCCUUUGUAUAUAUAGGGAAACGCAAAGGAUCUGGGCAUAUAUAUGCAAAGCGCUGCCAAGGAGCAGCUGUCGCCGUUGUUUGAUUUGCGAUUGCGACGCUGGCGGAAAUGGAAUGACACGCAAGGCACAAAGGCAGCCCGACAGCCCAGCCCAAGCCAGGCCAAGGCAGCCAGCCAGUCAAUCAGCCACUCCACGUCUUUGUUUGGCAGCUCGUCGCAAAAAGAUUGGCAAAAUGGAAAUC